rnacentral:rRNA from 1 species
GAUGAACGCUGGCGGCGUGCUUAACACAUGCAAGUCGAACGGGAAGUGAGGACGGAAACCUUCGGGCGGAAGGCUUUAUUUCGAGUGGCGGACGGGUGAGUAACGCGUGGGUAACCUGCCUCAUACAGGGGGAUAACAGUUGGAAACGACUGUUAAUACCGCAUAAGACCACAGCACCGCAUGGUGCGGGGGUAAAAACUCCGGUGGUAUGAGAUGGACCCGCGUUCGAUUAGCCAGUUGGCGGGGUAACGGCCCACCAAAGCGACGAUCGAUAGCCGAUCUGAGAGGAUGACCGGCCACAUUGGGACUGAGACACGGCCCAAACUCCUACGGGAGGCAGCAGUGGGGAAUAUUGCACAAUGGGGGAAACCCUGAUGCAGCGACGCCGCGUGAGUGAAGAAGUAUUUCGGUAUGUAAAGCUCUAUCAGCAGGGAAGAAAAUGACGGUACCUGAGUAAGAAGCCCCGGCUAACUACGUG